rnacentral:rRNA from 1 species
GCAGUAGCCGCGGUAACACGGAGGGAGCUAGCGUUGCUCGGAAUUACUGGGCGUAAAGCGCACGUAGGCGGCUUGGUAAGCUAGAGGUGAAAGCCCGGAGCUCAACUCCGGAAUUGCCUUUAAGACUGCCGAGCUAGUAGGUGAGAGAGGUAAGUGGAAUUCCGAGUGUAGAGGUGAAAUUCGUAGAUAUUCGGAAGAACACCAGUGGCGAAGGCGACUGACUGGACAAGUAUUGACGCUGAGGUGCGAAAGCGUGGGUAGCAAACAGGAUUAGAUACCCCAGUAGUCCCUGUCUCUUAUAC